rnacentral:rRNA from 1 species
CCUACGGGUGGCUGCAGUGAGGAAUAUUGGUCAAUGGCCGAGAGGCUGAACCAGCCAAGUCGCGUGAGGGAAGACGGCCCUACGGGUUGUAAACCUCUUUUGUCGGGGAGCAAAGCGAACCACGUGUGGUUCAUUGAGAGUACCCGAAGAAAAAGCAUCGGCUAACUCCGUGCCAGCAGCCGCGGUAAUACGGAGGAUGCGAGCGUUAUCCGGAUUUAUUGGGUUUAAAGGGUGCGCAGGCGGAGGUGCAAGUCAGCGGUCAAAUUGCGGGGCUCAACCUGUGGCCUGCAUUUGAAACUGUUUUUCUUGAGUGCUGGAGAGGCAAUCGGAAGUCCGUGUGUAGCGGUGAAAUGCGUAGAUAUACGGAGGAACACCAGUGGCGAAGGCGGAUUGCUGGACAGUAACUGACGCUGAGGCGCGAAAGCGUGGGGAGCAAACAGGAUUAGAUACCCCUGUAGUC